UACGAAGGGGGCUAGCGUUGUUCGGAAUUACUGGGCGUAAAGGGCUGCGUAGGCGGUGUGUCAAGUCAGGCGUGAAAGCCCCGGGCUCAACCUGGGAACCGCGCUUGAGACUGGCACGCUAGAGUUCGGGAGAGGAUGGUGGAAUUCCCAGUGUAGAGGUGAAAUUCGUAGAUAUUGGGAAGAACACCGAUGGCGAAGGCAGCCAUCUGGACCGACACUGACGCUGAGGCGCGAAAGCGUGGGGAGCAAACAGG
rnacentral:rRNA from 1 species